GCGAAAGCAGGUCAUAGUGAUCCGGUGGUUCUGAAUGGAAGGGCCAUCGCUCAACGGAUAAAAGGUACUCCGGGGAUAACAGGCUGAUACCGCCCAAGAGUUCAUAUCGACGGCGGUGUUUGGCACCUCGAUGUCGGCUCAUCACAUCCUGGGGCUGAAGUAGGUCCCAAGGGUAUGGCUGUUCGCCAUUUAAAGUGGUACGCGAGCUGGGUUUAGAACGUCGUGAGACAGUUCGGUCCCUAUCUGCCGUGGGCGCUGGAGAACUGAGGGGGGCUGCUCCUAGUACGAGAGGACCGGAGUGGACGCAUCACUGGUGUUCGGGUUGUCAUGCCAAUGGCACUGCCCGGUAGCUAAAUGCGGAAGAGAUAAGUGCUGAAAGCAUCUAAGCACGAAACUUGCCCCGAGAUGAGUUCUCCCUGACUCCUUGAGAGUCCUGAAGGAACGUUGAAG
rnacentral:rRNA from 1 species